GAAAAUUGAAGUUCCCCUCACAAAUAUCAGAUAUCUGACGCAAAGCAUAGUGGACUUAUGUUCUUGUGUACUUUGAACUCUUAAAGUUUUGAAAAUUGAACCUUUUUCCUCUGUGUACUUUGAACUCUUAAUGCAAGUUGGAGACAAAUACCUUCUGUGUUGUGUACUGAGAAGACAAAAGGCUCUAUUUUUCGUGCUAAACUGCUGCUUUUUUUGAUUGACACAGGACGACUGGGAAGUAGACAAACUGAAACACAUUCAAAAGUUGAACUGAAGAAAAUUGAAGUUCCCCUCACAAAUAUCAGAUAUCUGACGCAAAGCAUAGUGCAGUUAUGUUCUUGUGUACUUUGAACUCUUAAAGUUUUGAAAAUUGAACCUUUUUCCUCUGUGUACUUUGAGCUCUUAAUGAAAGUUGGAGACAAAUACCUUAUGUGCAGUGUACUGAGAAGAGAAAAGGCUCUAUUUUUCAUUGACGCAUG
rnacentral:lncRNA from 1 species